CUCUUGCAACAGUUUGAUAAAUACCUUAAACUCAUCUUCACUCCUUUUCACCGUAUUUGUUCCCUUAUCGCUAUCACUAUCAGUCGUCUUAUCCCUGUCAUUAUUUUUCACACUCCCGCGUCCAACAUCCAUCUCCCCAACUUCACUUCCUGAUCCGUCAUUACCUAACUCCUGACCAUUCACAGCCCAGUUGUUGGCAACCGCCUGAAGCUCACUGCCAACAGACACACGUCUUUGCUCCUUUCCUCCAGAAGCACUCAUCGUCUUGCCUGCUCUGCUCUCUUCCAACGCCCUGCUCUGGACCUAUACCCAUUGUCAACCUCGACAUGGUUCCUUUGGGGAGGCAGGGGCCCAGAUAGACCAGUAUCUGGAGUGGCUCAGAGAAUACGGCCAGGCCUUCUUCUAUGGGCUUCCUGUCAAGUUGCUGCCAGCGGUUGCUGUGGCUAAAACUAGUUCGUUCAGGGUUAACAGCAAUUCACACAACCUUCAGAUCUUCACUGGAAACCAAAAGAUGCUUUUUGUAUCAUUGGAAUCACAUUGAUUGACCUCUACCCCAAUGACUCGUGGAACUUUGUCUUUGGAAAGGCUUCUCUUAGUGAGGACCUUACUGCACUGGAUGGAGGGUGAUCAGAGUCAAACACCCAGACCAGAGGAGGCCUCUGCCUGUCAAUAUGUGCUCCACUUUCCAAAACCCACCGAAGCCUUUCAGACAUCCAGACUGCGGCUCCGCAGGUGUCUGGACGUACUGGGGGGAAAAGAUUAACUAUAGUACCUGUCCAUAAAUCAGGAUACGAUCAGGAAAGAAACCAAACAGCUCUGACCUCUUUAAGAUACCAUUUAAAAAUAUGAGCUUAACAUUUCUGCUGCUGUUUGAUUACAAAGCAAGGCAGAAUGAAAUGCUGAGUUCAGGUAAGUAUGUUAUAAAUCUAAAUUAAAGAUGCAAUAUGUACAUGAAAUAUUUUUAUAUUUUUAAGUGUAUACAAAUUUUUUCCAUAAUUAUGUGACAAAUACAAAAGUAGUUGAAUAAGUUGCUUUAAGGUUGAAGUUUAUAGAAAUAAAACCCUUAAACAUGA